UGGGGAAUAUUGGACAAUGGGGGGAACCCUGAUCCAGCCAUGCCGCGUGUGUGAAGAAGGCCUUAUGGUUGUAAAGCACUUUAAGCGAGGAGGAGGGUACUGGUAUUAAUACUACCAGCUACUGGACGUUACUCGCAGAAUAAGCACCGGCUAACUCUGUGCCAGCAGCCGCGGUAAUACAGAGGGUGCGAGCGUUAAUCGGAUUUACUGGGCGUAAAGCGUGCGUAGGCGGCUAAUUGAGUCGGAUGUGAAAGCCCCGGGCUCAACCUGGGAACUGCAUCCAAAACUGGCGAGCUAGAGUAGGGCAGAGGGUGGUGGAAUUUCCUGUGUAGCGGUGAAAUGCGUAGAUAUAGGAAGGAACACCAGUGGCGAAGGCGACCACCUGGGCUCAUACUGACACUGAGGUGCGAAAGCGUGGGGAGCAAACAGG
rnacentral:rRNA from 1 species